rnacentral:rRNA from 1 species
CGCGGUAUAUUGACCGUGCAAAGGUAGCAUAAUCAUUAGUCUUUUAAUAGGAGGCUGGUAUGAAAGGUUUAACGAAACAUUAACUGUCUCAUUUAUAUAUUUAAAAUUUAACUUUUAAGUUAAAAGGCUUAAAUUUAGUUGUUGGACGAGAAGACCCUAUAGAGCUUUACAUUAUUUAUAUUAAUAUUAUUUUGUUUUAUAAUUUGUUAUUAAAAUAAUUAUUGUUUUGUUGGGGUGACAAGAAAAUAUAAUUAACUUUUUUAUUUUAUAAACAUUAAUUUAUGUUUAUUUGAUCCAUUAUUAUUGAUCAUUAGAUUAAGUUACCUUAGGGAUAACAGCGUAAUCUUCUUUUGGAGUUCACAUUUACAAGAAGGCUUGCGACCUCGAUGUUGGAUUAAGAUGAUAAUUAGGUGCAGUAGCUUAAUUAAUAGGUCUGUUCGAC